rnacentral:rRNA from 1 species
GUAUACAGGUGGUGCAUGGUUGUCGUCAGCUCGUGUCGUGAGAUGUUGGGUUAAGUCCCGCAACGAGCGCAACCCUCGUUCUAUGUUGCCAGCACGUUAUGGUGGGGACUCAUAGGAGACUGCCGGGGUCAACUCGGAGGAAGGUGGGGAUGACGUCAAAUCAUCAUGCCCCUUAUGUCUUGGGCUUCACGCAUGCUACAAUGGCCGGUACAGAGGGUUGCGAUACUGUGAGGUGGAGCUAAUCCCUAAAAGCCGGUCUCAGUUCGGAUUGGGGUCUGCAACUCGACCCCAUGAAGUCGGAGUCGCUAGUAAUCGCAGAUCAGCAACGCUGCGGUGAAUACGUUCCCGGGCCUUGUACACACCGCCCGUCAAGUCACGAAAGUUGGUAACACCCAAAGCCGGUGGCCUAACCUUUUUGGAGGGAGCCGUCUAAGGUGGGAUUGGCGAUUGGGACUAAGUCGUAACAAGGUAGCCGUACCGGAAGGUGCGGCUGGAUCACCUCCUUU